rnacentral:rRNA from 1 species
UACAGAGGGUGCGAGCGUUAAUCGGAAUUACUGGGCGUAAAGGGCGCGUAGGCGGUUAUUUAAGUUUGAUGUGAAAUCCCUGGGCUUAACCUAGGAACUGCAUUGAAGACUGGAUGACUGGAGUACUGUAGAGGGUAGUGGAAUUUCCGGUGUAGCGGUGAAAUGCGUAGGGAUCGGAAGAAACACCAGUGGCGAAGGCGGCUACCUGGACAGAUACUGACGCUGAGGCGCGAGAGCGUGGGGAGCAAACAGG